GAUUAGCUAGUUGGUAAGGUAAAGGCUUACCAAGGCUCCGAUCGGUAGCUGGUCUGGGAGGAUGAGCAGCCACACUGGGACUGAGACACGGCCCAGACUCCUACGGGAGGCAGCAGUGGGGAAUUUUCCGCAAUGGGCGAAAGCCUGACGGAGCAAGACCGCGUGGGGGAUGAAGGCUCUUGGGUUGUAAACCCCUUUUCCUCAGGGAAGAAGUUCUGACGGUACCUGAGGAAUAAGCAUCGGCUAACUCCGUGCCAGCAAGCCGCGGUAAGACGGAGGAUGCAAGCGUUAUCCGGAAUUAUUGGGCGUAAAGCGUUCGUAGGUGGCUAUUCAAGUCUGCCGUUAAAGACCGGGGCUUAACUCCGGAAAAACUGUGGAAACUGAACAGCUAGAGUAUGGUAGGGGUAAGGGGAAUUCCCGGUGUAUGGGUGAAAUGCGUAGAUAUCGGGAAGAACACCGGU
rnacentral:rRNA from 1 species